UGAGGAAUAUUGGGCAAUGCCCGCAAGGGUGACCCAGCAACGCCGCGUGGAGGAUGAAUGUCGUAAGAUUGUAAACUCCUGUUAGAGGGGAAGAAUAGUACCGGUUGGACCGGUAUAUGACUGUACCCUCAGAGAAAGCCCCGGCUAACUACGUGCCAGCAGCCGCGGUAAUACGUAGGGGGCAAGCGUUGUCCGGAUUUACUGGGUGUAAAGGGCGCGCAGGCGGGAUAAAAAGUCAGUGGUGAAAUCCUACAGCUUAACUGUAGAACUGCCUUUGAUACUUUUAUUCUUGAGUUCGGGAGAGAGAGACGGAAUUCCAGGUGUAGUGGUGAAAUACGUAGAUAUCUGGAAGAACACCAGUUGCGAAGGCGGUCUCUUGGUCCGACACUGACGCUGAGGCGCGCAAGCGUGGGGAGCAAACA
rnacentral:rRNA from 1 species